UACGAAGGGGGCUAGCGUUGCUCGGAAUCACUGGGCGUAAAGGGUGCGUAGGCGGGUCUUUAAGUCAGGGGUGAAAUCCUGGAGCUCAACUCCAGAACUGCCUUUGAUACUGAGGAUCUUGAGUUCGGGAGAGGUGAAUGGAACUGCGAGUGUAGAGGUGAAAUUCGUAGAUAUUCGCAAGAACACCAGUGGCGAAGGCGGCUCACUGGCCCGAUACUGACGCUGAGGUGCGAAAGCGUGGGGAGCAAACAGG
rnacentral:rRNA from 1 species